UAGCCAACCUUGCUUGGUGGAUCAGUGGCGAACGGGUGAGUAACACGUGAGCAACCUGCCCUGGACUCUGGGAUAAGCGCUGGAAACGGCGUCUAAUACUGGAUAUGAGACGUGAUCAAAUGGUCGUGUUUGGAAAGAUUUUUCGGUCUGGGAUGGGCUCGCGGCCUAUCAGCUUGUUGGUGAGGUAAUGGCUCACCAAGGCGUCGACGGGUAGCCGGCCUGAGAGGGUGACCGGCCACACUGGGACUGAGACACGGCCCAGACUCCUACGGGAGGCAGCAGUGGGGAAUAUUGCACAAUGGGCGGAAGCCUGAUGCAGCAACGCCGCGUGAGGGAUGACGGCCUUCGGGUUGUAAACCUCUUUUAGCAGGGAAGAAGCGAAAGUGACGGUACCUGCAGAAAAAGCGCCGGCUAACUACGUGCCAGCAGCCGCGGUAAUACGUAGGGCGCAAGCGUUAUCCGGAAUUAUUGGGCGUAAAGAGCUCGUAGGCGGUUUGUCGCGUCUGCUGUGAAAUCCCGAGGCUCAACCUCGGGCCUGCAGUGGGUACGGGCAGACUAGAGUGCGGUAGGGGAGAUUGGAAUUCCUGGUGUAGCGGUGGAAUGCGCAGAUAUCAGGAGGAACACCGAUGGCGAAGGCAGAUCUCUGGGCCGUAACUGACGCUGAGGAGCGAAAGGGUGGGGAGCAAACAGGCUUAGAUACCCUGGUAGUCCACCCCGUAAACGUUGGGAACUAGUUGUGGGGACCAUUCCACGGUUUCCGUGACGCAGCUAACGCAUUAAGUUCCCCGCCUGGGGAGUACGGCCGCAAGGCUAAAACUCAAAGGAAUUGACGGGGACCCGCACAAGCGGCGGAGCAUGCGGAUUAAUUCGAUGCAACGCGAAGAACCUUACCAAGGCUUGACAUAUACGAGAACGGGCCAGAAAUGGUCAACUCUUUGGACACUCGUAAACAGGUGGUGCAUGGUUGUCGUCAGCUCGUGUCGUGAGAUGUUGGGUUAAGUCCCGCAACGAGCGCAACCCUCGUUCUAUGUUGCCAGCACGUAAUGGUGGGAACUCAUGGGAUACUGCCGGGGUCAACUCGGAGGAAGGUGGGGAUGACGUCAAAUCAUCAUGCCCCUUAUGUCUUGGGCUUCACGCAUGCUACAAUGGCCGGUACAAAGGGCUGCAAUACCGUGAGGUGGAGCGAAUCCCAAAAAGCCGGUCCCAGUUCGGAUUGAGGUCUGCAACUCGACCUCAUGAAGUCGGAGUCGCUAGUAAUCGCAGAUCAGCAACGCUGCGGUGAAUACGUUCCCGGGUCUUGUACACACCGCCCGUCAAGUCAUGAAAGUCGGUAACACCUGAAGCCGGUGGC
rnacentral:rRNA from 1 species